AUGAUGUUUCAGGUGCCAUGUCGUGUGUCAUCGGCAUAGAUAAGCGGGAAGCUGGUCGAAUGCUGGCGCUGUCACACAACGUCAUGGAACUGUGAAUCUUGACUUAUGCCGUGGGGAGAGGAGCCCGGCAUGGCUCGUCUUUCUGCA
rnacentral:ncRNA from 1 species